rnacentral:rRNA from 1 species
GUGCCAGCAGCCGCGGUAAUACGUAGGGACCAAGCGUUGUUCGGAUUUACUGGGCGUAAAGGGCGCGUAGGCGGCAUAUUAAGUCAGCUGUGAAAUCUCCGAGCUUAACUCGGAACUGUCAGCUGAUACUGAUGUGCUAGAGUGCAGAAAGGGCAAUCGGAAUUCUUGGUGUAGCGGUGAAAUGCGUAGAUAUCAAGAGGAACACCUGAGGCGAAGGCGGGUUGCUAGGCUGACACUGACGCUGAGUGCGCGAAAGCCAGGGGAGCAAACGGGAUUAGAUACCCGAGUAGUCC